CGAAGCUGUAAAGCGGCAAACGGCUCAAAUUUGGAAAUCUGGCGUCUUCGGCGUCCGAGUUGUAAUUUGCAGAGGGCGCUUUGGCAUUGGCAGCGGUCCAAGUUCCUUGGAACAGGACGUCACAGAGGGUGAGAAUCCCGUACGUGGUCGCUAGCCUUUACCGUGUAAAGCCCCUUCGACGAGUCGAGUUGUUUGGGAAUGCAGCUCUAAAUGGGAGGUAAAUUUCUUCUAAAGCUAAAUACUGGCCAGAGACCGAUAGCGCACAAGUAGAGUGAUCGAAAGAUGAAAAGCACUUUGGAAAGAGAGUUAAAAAGCACGUGAAAUUGUUGAAAGGGAAGCGCUUGCAGCCAGACUUGCCUGUAGUUGCUCAUCCGGGUUUUUACCCGGUGCACUCUUCUAUAGGCAGGCCAGCAUCAGUUUGGGCGGUUGGAUAAAGGUCUCUGUCAUGUACCUCUCUUCGGGGAGAACUUAUAGGGGAGACGACAUGCAACCAGCCUGGACUGAGGUCCGCGCAUCUGCUAGGAUGCUGGCGUAAUGGCUGUAAGCGGCCCGUCUUGAAACACGGACC
rnacentral:rRNA from 1 species